rnacentral:lncRNA from 1 species
ACAUCCAUAUUAUUAUUUUUUUAAAAAAAAGACUAAAAUAAAGAGUAUACAAACGGUUCUAAGAGGGUCUAGAACUAGAACUUCAGCAGCACCUUUAUAUUCUCACUUUCUUUUUGUUUUGGGUUUCCGAGUCUCUGCUUCGCAUUCUCGCUGUUCAUCACAUUGCGUUCACGUUUCUGCUUUGCCGAGUCUCUGCUUCGCAUUCUCGCUGUCCAUCACAUUGCGUUCACGAUUCUGCUUUGUCAACGAGGUUUUAAUCUCUCCCGAUUCUAACUAUUUAAUUUUUAUUGUGUUUUAGUAGUUAAUCAAUAGGUGUAAUCGUCAUCACCAUGCUCACAAUCACACUACGCUUCACUUAACUUUGAAAUUGGGGAAAAUGUAACUGAAGAGAAUAUUAGGUUUCGCAUUUUGAUGAACUUGUCUGCGGCAUUGAAAGAGAUGUGAUAAGUUGACGGAUUUGUUUUAUAUUUUUAAUGAUAAUGCAUGAUAAAUACGAGUUUGUGAUGUGGAUUGUUUUAGUGACAUACUGUAGUUAUUUGCUUGUAGUGUACAUGUUCGUAAGAAGUCCUGCGAGGAAUGUAUCUCGUGUUGUUUAACCCUGGGAUUUUGGGUCUAUUAUUGUUCUUGUUCCUAAAUAUAUAUAUAUAU